rnacentral:rRNA from 1 species
UACGGAGGGGGCAAGCGUUGUUCGGAAUUACUGGGCGUAAAGGGCGCGCAGGCGGCUGCUCAAGUCAGGCGUGAAAGGCCUGGGCUCAACCCGGGAAUUGCGCUUGAGACUGGGCUGGCUUGAGUGCGGGAGAGGAUGGUGGAAUUCCCAGUGUAGAGGUGAAAUUCGUAGAUAUUGGGAAGAACACCGAUGGCGAAGGCAGCUCGCUGGGACGGUACUGACGCUGAGGCGCGAAAGCGUGGGGAGCGAACAGG